rnacentral:lncRNA from 1 species
ACUACUUCCCAUUACUCAAUUUACAUGAUUAAGCAUGGAGUCCAAUGAUUGAUGAUCCAUAAAGUCUAAAAUGUCUCUGAGCCUCUUCCAUUCAAGUAAAACCAAUUAAAUUCCUAUAAAUAAAAGGCAGUAUCUACUGGCAUAUUCAAUUACACAUGAAUAACCUAAUUAUGAAAGCAUGAAACAGAGAGAUCCAUGAAAGUAAAGCUAUAUUAUGAAUCACAACUUAGUAUAGAGCUAAAAAAAACUUCCAUUUUUCAUUUCAACUCCAAUUUGAGCAUCAACUCUACAAGUUUAAGAACAGGUGUCUGGAAAUCAAUAUAAAAGAGAGGUGAGCUGAUCAGCAGUAAGCAGUAGAAAGAACAGUGAUCAACAUCAGUGAUGACCAAGAAACCAGCUUUAAACCCAGAAAUGAGAUGCAACAAUCAAAAACAAAUAUUGACUAGAACUUCAAAGCAAACUUUUAAACCACCAAACUUAAACCAUUUUAGCCCAAAUAGAUCAGAAAUUAUUUCAGGAAUUCGAAACUGAAGAAAUCUCAAAAAGAAUUCAAUGAAGCAGUAAUUCUCACUCAAAUUUUAGCCAUUCUUUUCUGAAUUUUUUCUCUAAAACCUCCCUUAAUCCUCAAGUAACAAUGCCUUUAUAGGCAAGCCAUUAAGGCAACCUAAAAGAAAUGAAAAUUGCCUUUUAACCCUUUUCCAAUUCUGGUAUUAGCUCCCAUACCCCU